rnacentral:lncRNA from 1 species
CCGCCAGUAGAAGGCAGGCUCUGCCCGUAGACGCUGGCACCGUGCGCUGACAUCCUGGGUAUCCAGAGCCCAGGAGUGUGAGCCCAGAGUUUCAAAUCUC